AGCGUACACGGUGGAUGCCCUGGCAGUCAGAGGCGAUGAAGGACGUGCUAAUCUGCGAUAAGCGUCGGUAAGGUGAUAUGAACCGUUAUAACCGGCGAUUUCCGAAUGGGGAAACCCAGUGUGUUUCGACACACUAUCAUUAACUGAAUCCAUAGGUUAAUGAGGCGAACCGGGGGAACUGAAACAUCUAAGUACCCCGAGGAAAAGAAAUCAACCGAGAUUCCCCCAGUAGCGGCGAGCGAACGGGGAGCAGCCCAGAGCCUGAAUCAGUGUGUGUGUUAGUGGAAGCGUCUGGAAAGGCGCGCGAUACAGGGUGACAGCCCCGUACACAAAAAUGCACAUGCUGUGAGCUCGAUGAGUAGGGCGGGACACGUGGUAUCCUGUCUGAAUAUGGGGGGACCAUCCUCCAAGGCUAAAUACUCCUGACUGACCGAUAGUGAACCAGUACCGUGAGGGAAAGGCGAAAAGAACCCCGGCGAGGGGAGUGAAAAAGAACCUGAAACCGUGUACGUACAAGCAGUGGGAGCACAGAGCAAUCUGUGUGACUGCGUACCUUUUGUAUAAUGGGUCAGCGACUUAUAUUCUGUAGCAAGGUUAACCGAAUAGGGGAGCCGAAGGGAAACCGAGUCUUAACUGGGCGUUAAGUUGCAGGGUAUAGACCCGAAACCCGGUGAUCUAGCCAUGGGCAGGUUGAAGGUUGGGUAACACUAACUGGAGGACCGAACCGACUAAUGUUGAAAAAUUAGCGGAUGACUUGUGGCUGGGGGUGAAAGGCCAAUCAAACCGGGAGAUAGCUGGUUCUCCCCGAAAGCUAUUUAGGUAGCGCCUCGUGAAUUCAUCUCCGGGGGUAGAGCACUGUUUCGGCAAGGGGGUCAUCCCGACUUACCAACCCGAUGCAAACUACGAAUACCGGAGAAUGUUAUCACGGGAGACACACGGCGGGUGCUAACGUCCGUCGUGAAGAGGGAAACAACCCAGACCGCCAGCUAAGGUCCCAAAGUCAUGGUUAAGUGGGAAACGAUGUGGGAAGGCCCAGACAGCCAGGAUGUUGGCUUAGAAGCAGCCAUCAUUUAAAGAAAGCGUAAUAGCUCACUGGUCGAGUCGGCCUGCGCGGAAGAUGUAACGGGGCUAAACCAUGCACCGAAGCUGCGGCAGCGACGCUGAUGCGUUGUUGGGUAGGGGAGCGUUCUGUAAGCCUGCGAAGGUGUGCUGUGAGGCAUGCUGGAGGUAUCAGAAGUGCGAAUGCUGACAUAAGUAACGAUAAAGCGGGUGAAAAGCCCGCUCGCCGGAAGACCAAGGGUUCCUGUCCAACGUUAAUCGGGGCAGGGUGAGUCGACCCCUAAGGCGAGGCCGAAAGGCGUAGUCGAUGGGAAACAGGUUAAUAUUCCUGUACUUGGUGUUACUGCGAAGGGGGGACGGAGAAGGCUAUGUUGGCCGGGCGACGGUUGUCCCGGUUUAAGCGUGUAGGCUGGUUUUCCAGGCAAAUCCGGAAAAUCAAGGCUGAGGCGUGAUGACGAGGCACUACGGUGCUGAAGCAACAAAUGCCCUGCUUCCAGGAAAAGCCUCUAAGCAUCAGGUAACAUCAAAUCGUACCCCAAACCGACACAGGUGGUCAGGUAGAGAAUACCAAGGCGCUUGAGAGAACUCGGGUGAAGGAACUAGGCAAAAUGGUGCCGUAACUUCGGGAGAAGGCACGCUGAUAUGUAGGUGAAGUCCCUCGCGGAUGGAGCUGAAAUCAGUCGAAGAUACCAGCUGGCUGCAACUGUUUAUUAAAAACACAGCACUGUGCAAACACGAAAGUGGACGUAUACGGUGUGACGCCUGCCCGGUGCCGGAAGGUUAAUUGAUGGGGUCAGCGCAAGCGAAGCUCUUGAUCGAAGCCCCGGUAAACGGCGGCCGUAACUAUAACGGUCCUAAGGUAGCGAAAUUCCUUGUCGGGUAAGUUCCGACCUGCACGAAUGGCGUAAUGAUGGCCAGGCUGUCUCCACCCGAGACUCAGUGAAAUUGAACUCGCUGUGAAGAUGCAGUGUACCCGCGGCAAGACGGAAAGACCCCGUGAACCUUUACUAUAGCUUGACACUGAACAUUGAGCCUUGAUGUGUAGGAUAGGUGGGAGGCUUUGAAGUGUGGACGCCAGUCUGCAUGGAGCCGACCUUGAAAUACCACCCUUUAAUGUUUGAUGUUCUAACGUGGACCCGUAAUCCGGGUUGCGGACAGUGUCUGGUGGGUAGUUUGACUGGGGCGGUCUCCUCCUAAAGAGUAACGGAGGAGCACGAAGGUUGGCUAAUCCUGGUCGGACAUCAGGAGGUUAGUGCAAUGGCAUAAGCCAGCUUGACUGCGAGCGUGACGGCGCGAGCAGGUGCGAAAGCAGGUCAUAGUGAUCCGGUGGUUCUGAAUGGAAGGGCCAUCGCUCAACGGAUAAAAGGUACUCCGGGGAUAACAGGCUGAUACCGCCCAAGAGUUCAUAUCGACGGCGGUGUUUGGCACCUCGAUGUCGGCUCAUCACAUCCUGGGGCUGAAGUAGGUCCCAAGGGUAUGGCUGUUCGCCAUUUAAAGUGGUACGCGAGCUGGGUUUAGAACGUCGUGAGACAGUUCGGUCCCUAUCUGCCGUGGGCGCUGGAGAAUUGAGGGGGGCUGCUCCUAGUACGAGAGGACCGGAGUGGACGCAUCACUGGUGUUCGGGUUGUCAUGCCAAUGGCACUGCCCGGUAGCUAAAUGCGGAAGAGAUAAGUGCUGAAAGCAUCUAAGCACGAAACUUGCCCCGAGAUGAGUUCUCCCUGACUCCUUGA
rnacentral:rRNA from 3 species